rnacentral:rRNA from 1 species
GACGAACGCUGGCGGCGUGCUUAACACAUGCAAGUCGAACGGAAAGGCCCUGCUUUUGUGGGGUGCUCGAGUGGCGAACGGGUGAGUAACACGUGAGUAACCUGCCCUUGACUUUGGGAUAACUUCAGGAAACUGGGGCUAAUACCGGAUAGGAGCUCCUGCUGCAUGGUGGGGGUUGGAAAGUUUCGGCGGUUGGGAAUGGACUCGCGGCUUAUCAGCUUGUUGGUGGGGUAGUGGCUUACCAAGGCUUUGACGGGUGGCCGGCCUGAGAGGGUGACCGGCCACAUUGGGACUGAGAUACGGCCCAGACUCCUACGGGAGGCAGCAGUGGGGAAUAUUGCACAAUGGGCGGAAGCCUGAUGCAGCAACGCCGCGUGCGGGAUGACGGCCUUCGGGUUGUAAACCGCUUUCGCCUGUGACGAAGCGUGAGUGACGGUAAUGGGUAAAGAAGCACCGGCUAACUACGUG